AAUUUUCAAGGACCACUUCCGGUUUGGAUGCGUUGGGCUCCUGAGCAACACGGGGCGCUGACUGGCACGUGAUCGCCGUCUCUUGUGCAGUGCCGGAAAGCUUAGGAAAAAAAUUCUGCCAAACCGAGGAAGCCGAUGUUUGGAGGCGGGAGUUCACCAGAAUACGGUUUCUUAUUUCCAUAGAUAAAGCUACCCUUGUGAUGUGACGUUAUAUUGUGAUUCCUACUCAUAGAAUUUAGAAUAGAACCUCUGAUUUGUUAUAAAUAGGGAAACCCAACAUGGAGUCACAGUGGCCAGUGUGGCACCCAUCUUGAUUGUUUCUAAAGAUCUGAUGUAAGAUUUGGAAUAUGUAAAUUAAGAUAACUGGAGUGUGAAGUCAAAUAAGUAAAUUGAUUUUUUUUUUUUUUUUGGUGGUGGGAGUUGGCUGUGUCACAGGGCUUGUGGGAUCUGAGUUACCCAACCAGGGAUCAAACUCAGGCCCUCGUCAGUGAAAGCCUGGAGUUCUAACGGCUGGACCACCUGGGUCCAGUAAAUUGUUUUUAAAGGUGUGGGGAAAGACUUAAAGAAAGAUGCAUAACAUGAGUUGUGCGUUUAAGUUUUAUUCGGGAUCUUUCUGAGGACUAAAGCCUGGGAGACAGCCACUCAGUAAACUGUGGCGACUACUUGGUAGAGGUAGGGGAGAAGCCAGUUUAUACAUGAUUUUUGGCCAGGGCAUACCUGAAGUCAAGCAUAUAUCUUGGUAAGAUUACUACUAAUCGUAAAGAACAGAUGUCUCCAGUUAAUCUUUUCAGCUUUUCUGUGUAUGGGAACACGCAAGAAUCUAGGGUCAUUAAAAUUCUUCCUGAGAUAUACAUCUAACUAUCUGUGGGACCUGCCUUUUCGUGUGCGUCCAAAGCACAGAUGCCUCAUUCUGUGUUCACCUUAAAUUCCUCUAAGAGUCCUACUGUCAGUCAGCAACUGCGGUGGGUUACAACUGAACUCUUGUGGAAAUGGGUGGUGAGCAAUGCUCUUUGUCUUAGCGAUCCUAAUUUUUCGGGGUCCACCCCUGUAUGUUGACUUUAAAAAAUGAACAACCUAAAGUUGACAGUUAUGUUUUAUUUGGGGAACCUUACUAAGGACUGUAGUCCGGGAAUUAGCUUCUCAGAUGGCUCUGAAGAACUGUUCCAAAGAGGUGAGUGAGGAGCCAGGAUAUAUAGGAGUUUUUUGCUGGGAAAAAAAAAAUGUAGUCAGACUUCAAAAGAUUACUGCUAAUUACAAAAAACAGACAUCUCAAGUAAAGGGUUUUAAUGCUUUUCUAUGUAUGGGAAGAUGCAAGUGUCUGGGCUCAUUGAUAUUAUUCCUUUGAUAUGCAUCUUAACUAACUAGGGCCAGUAUCCUCUUUUUCUCCACCCUGAAUUCCCCUCAGGAUGCACUGUCAGGGCAGCUGCAGUGACCGUUGGCUUGAUGGCAGACAGCAUUUUUUGUUUACUGAAAUAGCAGGCAACAUUUUUUUGUCCACAGGUAAGGCUCCUUGCUGCUGGGGUUGUAACUUUUGCACCCUAGGGAUUGUACCUCACAAAAGACAGGGUCUGAGUGCAGUUGCUGGAGAAGGGUCUCGAUGGACCGCAUGCACUACGCUCGCUGGAGACUGCCCGUGUCAGAAGCUGCCGGAGUAGAAGCCCAUCUCUUCUCUUCUCCAUCCUGCACCAUGAGAGGCUCUGCAUGUGUGUGGCCACCCAGCCCCCAAGUGCAAGGGUAGUCACCUGCUCUCCAGUGAGCAGUCACCCCCAAUAGCCCUAAAGGGAGGACACACACUGGGAAGAGACUGGCUCAGUUAUUUUUCAGGAAGAGUGGC